rnacentral:rRNA from 1 species
CCUACGGGGGGCAGCAGUGAGGAAUAUUGGUCAAUGGACGAGAGUCUGAACCAGCCAAGUCGCGUGAAGGAUGACUGCCCUAUGGGUGGUAAACUUCUUUUAUAAAGGAAUAAAACGAGGCACGUGUGCCUUUUUGCAUGUACUUUAUGAAUAAGGAUCGGCUAACUCCGUGCCAGCAGCCGCGGUAAUACGGAGGAUCCGAGCGUUAUCCGGAUUUAUUGGGUUUAAAGGGAGCGUAGAUGGGUUGUUAAGUCAGUUGUGAAAGUUUGGGGCUCAACCGUAAAAUUGCAAUUGAUACUGGCAGUCUUGAGUACAGUAGAGGGAGGCAGAAUUCGUGGUGUAGCGGUGAAAUGCUUAGAGAUCACGAAGAACCCCGAUGGCGAAGGCAGCUCACUAAACUGAGACUGACAUUGAUGCUCGAAAGUGUGGGUAUCAAACAGGAUUAGAUACCCGAGUAGUC